rnacentral:rRNA from 1 species
GAUGAACGCUAGCGGCAGGCCUAACACAUGCAAGUCGAGGGGUAACAGAAAAGCUUGCUUUUGCUGACGACCGGCGCACGGGUGCGUAACGCGUAUGCAACCUACCUCAUACUGGAGGAUAGCCCCUGGAAACGGGGAUUAAUACUCCAUAGUAUCACAAUUUCGCAUGUUAUUGUGAUUAAAGUUUUUCGGUAUGAGAUGGGCAUGCGUCCCAUUAGCUUGUUGGUGAGGUAACGGCUCACCAAGGCAACGAUGGGUAGGGGGCCUGAGAGGGUGGUCCCCCACACUGGUACUGAGACACGGACCAGACUCCUACGGGAGGCAGCAGUGAGGAAUAUUGGUCAAUGGAGGAAACUCUGAACCAGCCAUGCCGCGUGAAGGAUGACGGCCCUAUGGGUUGUAAACUUCUUUUAUAGAGGAAGAAACUUGUCUACGUGUAGACAACUGACGGUACUCUACGAAUAAGGAUCGGCUAACUCCGUGCCAGCAGCCGCGGUAAUACGGAGGAUCCAAGCGUUAUCCGGAUUCAUUGGGUUUAAAGGGUCCGUAGGCGGAUUUUUAAGUCAGUGGUGAAAGCCGACAGCUCAACUGUCGAACUGCCAUUGAUACUGGAAAUCUUGAGUACAAAUGAAGUAGGCGGAAUGAGUCAUGUAGCGGUGAAAUGCAUAGAUAUGACUCAGAACACUGAUUGCGAAGGCAGCUUACUAACAUGUAACUGACGCUGAGGGACGAAAGCGUGGGGAGCGAACAGGAUUAGAUACCCUGGUAGUCCACGCCGUAAACGAUCAUCACUCGCUGUUGGCGAUAUACUGUCAGCGGCCAAGCGAAAGUAUUAAGUGAUGCACCUGGGGAGUACGCCGG